UGCUCACAAUUAACAUUUUUAAUUCAAAGUUUGACAAUAAUGGCUGCUAACGCUUCCUCAGCUCAAGUAUAAAUACACCACCAUGCCACUUUAAACCCAUAACUUAAUUAAGCUUAGAAUUAAGCAUAUUCAUUAAUUCAUCUAAUUAAGAAAAAGAAAUAUUUCGAAGAAGAAACAAAAGGGUAAAAUAAAGAGAAAGAUGUCGUCCGAUUGCCCAGGGAAGAAUGAGUGGCCAGAACUCGUGGGACUAAAUGGAGAAGUGGCUGCACAGAUAAUAGAAAGUGAGAAUCCCAACGUGCAUGCCAUCGUUUUAGAAGAUGGAUCUCCGACUACUAGAGACUUUGAUUGCGAUCGGGUUUGGGUUUGGGUCGAUACUGACGGAGUUGUACGUGGUUCGUGCUCCUACAGCGGGUUAAGCGCGCUUUCAAGGUUACUAUGUAUUCUUCGUAUGAUAAACGUACUACCAAAAAUGUAUUUGGGUCUAUGUAGUGAUCCAACCUUAAUUAUAUUUAUGUUUUCAAUCAUGUACUGACCAAUAAAUAUUGUACUACGGAGUACAUAGUAAAUAAUAUGGCCUUUCGGGUUUCUAGCUACUUCAAUCAUAUACGGAUAUGUACAAAAAAAAAAAACUUAUUGAUGAUAAUAAAGUUUGUUUUCUACGUA